rnacentral:rRNA from 1 species
CCCUUAGAUGUUCGGGGCGGCCCGCGCACUACAAUGGCGUGUGCAGCGAGUGCCGAAGUAGAGUUUUCCGAGGUAUUCUUGCAAUGCUCGUUUUGAUGGGGAUAGACCCUUGCAACUGUUGGUUUUGAACGAGGAAUUCCUUGUAAGCAUGGUUUAUCAUCCGACGCUGAAUGCGUCCCUGCCCUUUGUACACACCGCCCGUCGCUCCUACCGAUGAGUCGUCCGGUGAAGUUCGUAGACCUCGUGAUCGCGGAUCACUGGGGGAAGCAAAAUGAACCUCGCGGUUUAGAGGAAGGAGAAGUCGUAACA